AACGAACGCUGGCGGCAGGCCUAACACAUGCAAGUCGAACGAGAAGCCACCUCCGGGUGGUGGAAAGUGGCAGACGGGUGAGUAACGCGUGGGAACGUGCCUUUCGGUUCGGGACAACCCAGGGAAACUUGGGCUAAUACCGGAUACACCCUUCGGGGGAAAGAUUCAUUGCCGAAAGAUCGGCCCGCGUCGGAUUAGUUAGUAGGUAGGGUAAUGGCCUACCAAGGCGACGAUCCGUAGCUGGUCUGAGAGGAUGACCAGCCACACUGGGACUGAGACACGGCCCAGACUCCUACGGGAGGCAGCAGUGGGGAGUAUUGGACAAUGGGCGCAAGCCUGAUCCAGCCAUGCCGCGUGGGUGAAGAAGGCCCUAGGGUUGUAAAUCCCUUUCAGCGGGGAAGAUAAUGACGGUACCCGCAGAAGAAGUCCCGGCUAACUCCGUGCCAGCCGCCGCCGUAACAC
rnacentral:rRNA from 1 species